AAUCAACGCUGGCGGCGCGCUUAACACAUGCAAGUCGAACGAGAAAGUGGAGCAAUCCAUGAGUACAGUGGCGCACUGGUGAGUAACACGUGGGUAAUUUACCUCUUUGUGGGGAAUAACCCUGGGAAACCGGGGAUAAUACCGCAUACGUCCGAGAGGAGAAAGCCGAAAGGCGCAGAGAGAGAAGCCCGCGCCCGAUUAGCUAGUUGGUGAGGUAAAAGCCCACCAAGGCGACGAUCGGUAGCCGGCCUGAGAGGGCACACGGCCACACUGGCACUGAAACACGGGCCAGACUCCUACGGGAGGCAGCAGUGGGGAAUCUUGCACAAUGGGGGAAACCCUGAUGCAGCGACGCCGCGUGAACGAUGAAGCCCUUCGGGGUGUAAAGUUCUUUCGACAGGAACGAUAAUGACGGUACCUGAAGAAGAAGCUGCGGCUAACUACGUGCCAGCAGCCGCGGUAAUACGUAGGCAGCAAGCGUUGUUCGGAAUUACUGGGCGUAAAGAGUGCGUAGGUGGUUGGCUAAGUUUGGUGUGAAAUCUCCCGGCUCAACUGGGAGGGUGCGCCGAAAACUGGCUAGCUAGAGUGUGGGAGAGGGACGUGGAAUUCCUGGUGUAGCGGUGAAAUGCGUAGAUAUCAGGAGGAACACCUGCGGUGUAGACGGCGUCCUGGAC
rnacentral:rRNA from 1 species